UGGGGGGGGAUGGAGCCCUGAGCCACGCGGGCAAACAUCUGGCAGGGAGAACAUCUGGCCGGGCGGGGAAAACGGGAACAAACCGCGAGAAAAACCAAAUAUUGCCCGUUAACACCCCCCGCUGGUGAUGUCACCGCGGACAAGGGGAAUCACAGGGCUCCCGUGGGCUGUCACGGGUGUCCCCAGCUCGGGCACCGCCCCGGCCCGUCCCCGCCCCGGGCGGGUCCCGCAGCGGGAGCGCAGAGCCGCCGCACGCAGGUCCCGAAAAACAGCUCCAGGUCAAAUAGCAUAUCAUUUACCUUCUCAUCCUAUUUUGAAUUUCACUAAGAGGAUUCCCUUUCAGGGGAAACAACUUUGCUUUUCUGUGCCAGUGGAAGGUGCAACAGUUUUUACAGAUGGAUCUGGAAGAACUGGAAAAGCUGCUGUAGCCUGGAAGAAGGAUGACCGCUGGGAAUAUGAAGUCAUGUUUCAACAGGAGUCUCCUAAGUUAAUUGAACUUUGCACCAUACUUUUGGCCUUUAUUUCCUAGUUCCGUAAAUAUAGUUACUGAUUCUGUUUAUGUUGCUAAUUUGGUGAAACAGCUGGAUCAAGCUGUGUUGUAUAAUGUAAAGGAAAAACCAUUAUUUGUUAUGUUGUUGAAAUUGUGGACUGUUAUUCGUAAUCAAAAACAUUCCUAUUUUAUUAUGCACAUUUGUAGCCAUACAUCGCUACCUGGAUUCUUUGUUGAAGGUAACACCUGUGUGGAUUCCCUUGUGGCUGCCUCAGCAGUAAAAAUGGUGCCUAAUGGGUUACAGCAAGCUGUUCUAUCUCACCAAUUUUUUCAUCAGGGUGCUCAGGCGCUACGGCAGAAAUUUAAAUUAUCACAUAGCAAAGCAAAGUGAUUAUUUCUUCUUGCUCUGUCUUAUGUCUGACGUUUCACAAUAUUACGGUACUAAUACUAGAGGCUUACUCCCUUUGCAAGAAUGGCAAACAGAUGUUACAAAAAUGCCUGAAUUUGGCUGUCUAAAGUAUGCCCAUGUUACAAUUGACACCUUUUCUCAUGCCAUGGUUGCCUCAGCGUCGGCAGGUGAAACAGCUCGGGAUGUUUUUCAUAAUUUUUGCCAUGCCUUUUCCAUCUUAGGCGUUCCAUCACAUAUAAAGACGGAUAACGGCCCGGGGUAUAUUUCAAAGAAAUUUCAAGUGUUUUUUCGUGCCUGGGGUGUUGGUCAUUCUACUGGUAUCGCUCAUGCUUCGACAGGCCAAGCAAUUAUUGAACGUGCCCAUGGUGUGUUGAAGCGGCAGGUACAAAAACAAAAAGGGGGAAUGCAGAUGGAGUCACCUCAAGUGAGAUUAGAGAAAGCCGUCUAUGUCUUAAACUUUUGGCAUCCUUUACCUGACUUGCAAUUGUCUCCUAUAUUCUAUCAUUUUUCAUUGUUGAAUUCAAAACAACCAAAGUUUCAGAAAGGUAUUAAGGUAUGGGUAAAAGAUUUAAUCACGGGAAAGUGGACUGGCCCAGUGGAAUUAGUAACAUGGGGAAGAGGAUACACAUUUGUUUUAACAGAAAAUGGCCCUCGUUGGGUCUCUUCCCAUUGUGUUAAACCCUAUUUGGAGCACACAGAAAAGAACAGGGUGGGUGGUUCUAAAAAUGAGUAGGUAAUUGCAUUAGUUAUUAGGUGGAUGGAAGCAUGGACCCUCAAAGAAUGUGUGGUAAAGAUGGUAAUUUGAGACAGAGUAAAGGGAGUUAUAGGCUUUCGCUGAAAAUUCAAAAUUUAAGUUAGUGGAUGUUACUUUUGCUUCAUUUCCUUGAAUUCUCUUACAGAGAGGUUGGUAGUACUGAGAAAUGUGUCUUGUACCAUUUUCUGUUGCAGGGCACCGACAGUCCCAAAAUAGGGGAAUUUGAUGUACCUAAGGGAGAAGUGUUGCCUUUGCAUAGGGGUUGAGUCAGUAGCUGAAGUCCACACUUUGAGCGACUAGGUUGGUUGCCCAUUAUGAUAGCAGCAACCAGUUGUAAAGUUAACUGGAUGCUACUUGGUUCUAAGUGGUGACUAGGCAGAUGACUUGGUCUCUGAUUCUGUGUGGGAGAAAGUUAUUUAACUAGAGGUGAAGGUGUCAUUCUGCUAUAAAUGUGUCAUCUGGAAAUUGUGAGGUCUGUAAUGGUAUUUGAAGAUCUGUCUUUAUGUGCCUUGUUUGUAUAUGAACAUUAAGAUUGUGAGGGUGUGUGUUAUGGAGUUGGUAGAAGUUGGUUAUUUGAAUGAAGAAUGGAUCCUCCAUCUGAUUGGAUUUUUGCAAGGACUCUGAAGAAGUACGUAGCAGUUGUAUUUGCAGGUCAAAUACAAAAAGGGGGAAUUGUGGGAAAGACAUUUUGUGCUGUUCUUGUGCGUCAGUGAAGGCUUCCUGGAGAUAAGGAAAGCCCCUUAUCUUUCUCAAGGAACACGUCAAGGCUAUCACUAUGGCAACGUGAUGGAAGAGGGAAACUUAAAAGAUACAGACAUUAGCUGGCUCACAGAAUGAUGUGGCUCCCUGUUUACCUAUUGGGAACUUUGUUUCUUUUUUAUUAGCAAUGGGCAAUGUAUGUUUCUGUUAGGUAAAUGUAAAUAUCUUGGAAAAACUAUAAAAGCAACAUGUUGCGGUAAUAAAUCUCUCUCAUACACCCUUCU